UGAGAAUUUUUAGAUAUUUAUAUUAGAAAACAAGACAAAAAAACCUAUGUAAGUCAAUAAUUUUUUGCAGUGUGAGGGAGAAGAAGCAAGCCCUGAGGGAACGUAGUGAACAAGCAGCUUCGGAUGACAGCGGCUCACUUUUGGCGUUGCUUGACAACACUUUGAGGCAGGAUAAAAAGCUCCAGGAACAAUUUCUUUAGAGUAUCUUCUCUAAUCACCUUUCCAUUAAUACAACCUGGACUGGUGUAGGGAAUCAAGCAUGUUUUAGAGACCUGUUUCUGAAGACCAUUGUUCAAAGAGCCAUCCGGAAGAACCCUGCAACCCAGGAUGCCACUGAUUGGGCUGUCCAGGUUAAUGUUACGUGUUACCUGAAAGGAGCAUCUGACCAUAAAGGCGGAAAAAGGCAGUACACAGCUGAGAGGGACCCACAGAUGACCCCUUAAACCGAGGCUGACUACUGACACCCCAGCAUUGCUGACAACUGGAAACCUUUCUUUAUCCUGCAGUCAGUAACAUCAAGAACCCUAAAGAAUCCUGAAGUGUCACACUACACUCAACCAAUCCACACUUCACUUUGAAAAUUACUAUUCUUUUAUUUUUCAAAUUCCAUGUGACCCUGCCUUAAGGGCAGCUCCUCGGAUAGAUAUGGAAUGGCGAUGAUGUUUGUCCUUUAUACAGGUGCACGAGAUAAAGUACUGAUUAUAAGCGUGUCAUGCUUA